rnacentral:ncRNA from 1 species
UGUAGGGGGACCGGUGUUGCCGGUUGAGAUAGUAUCCGUAAAGAUGCUGACCCUUAGAACCUGAUCUGGUUAGAACCAGCGUAGGGAACAUAUAAG